UAUGGCUUCACUUUAUAGGUGUCAAAUC
rnacentral:piRNA from 1 species